rnacentral:misc_RNA from 1 species
UUAAGUUCAGCGGGUAUCCCUACCUGAUUCGAGGUCAAAUCGCAAUGGUCUUGGUGGAUGUGGGCCCGCAACAGCUUGCAAGUUGCAUGCGCUGCACAGAAAGCUAGGCGGGCCACCGCCAAUGGAUUUAAGGUGAGUCUGCAGGGCAGACAGACACCCAACACCGAGCAGGGCUCGAAGGUGUAGAUGACGCUCAAACA